rnacentral:lncRNA from 1 species
CUUAAUAUUUUUAUUUUGGCAAGCAUAGAACUUUACUACUUACUAAAGAUGAAAUUUGAGAUCUUGUGCCCUCUUUGGGUGUGCAGAUAUAUCUGGUGUGCAGAUAUACAUGGAAGCAGAAUGUUGUAUACAUAAUAAAUAAAUAAAAUCUUUGGGCUGGAGAGAUGGCUCAGCCGUUAAAGGCUAGGCUCACAACCAAAACAAAGUUGUUUGUAAGAGCAGACUCAAUCUUAUUUAAUGCAUAUGUUUGCAUGCAGGGACACCAGAACAAGAUCUUAUGUGUCAGAGAAGCAGAAAUUCACGAAGAAAAGUGAUCUGCCAUCAAACCAACAUGCUCAGAUGGGGUGGUUUGAGUCUGAACCACAGAAUGGCCACUCAUGUACUGUGUGGCUUCUUGUUCCUCCCUGAGCUUCAGCUGUCUUAUUUGCAUAAUGGGGUAGAAUUGAUUCACAUCAAGACUAAAUUGGCUCUUGGCAUUCUGAUGAAGAUGGUGUUUUGGCAGAGGUGCAGCCAAGGAGUUAUGGAGGAGAGAUGACUAAGGCAUGACUCUUUCUCCUGCUGUGAAUGAAAUCUGCCUCACAAGCCCUAUGUUCUGUGAAUAUCUUCAUUGAACUACUUUAUGAUCAUUUCACCCUCAUGUGGAAUGGGUUUGUCUCUUUGAUUUUUAAUCUCCCACAAUUUUGCAGAAAAUGGAGAUAGUAAAGGACCUUUGGGAUAAUAGAUCAAUGUCUAUGUGGCAAACACGGAAGCCUAGAUACACAGACAAGAUCUUUUCAUGCUAUUUAGAUUAAUCAUAGAAUCAGUGUGCUCAUAUCCUUUCUGAAAUAUUAUAUGACUUAAAAUAACCCCACAUGUCAGCAUGCAAUUUAGCAUGCUCUGUCAUCUGAUGCCAUUAUACUUAUGAACUACUGUUCUCUUCUCUUUGUUGUAAAUCUGUUCUUCAUUGACUCUGUCAGAUACAUUGAUCUCAUCCAGAAUUUGUUUUUUUUCAGUUAUUUCUGGCCCUGCAAUGUCCAUUUGCUUUCCUCCAGUGUUAACUGCUAUAGCUCAGCAUCUAAAAUUACUUUUCUUGAGCUCAUCAUGCUGAUACAUGCCUGUAAUCCCAGCAUUUGGAAAGCUUGAGUUCAAGGCCAACCCUGGAUAUGUAAGGAAAAAUCUGUCUCAAAAUAUGUGAAAUACAACAAAACAAAAUCAGCAAGCAAGAAAGAAAAUUCCAUUUCCAUGGACUCUCACUCAUCACAGAUUUUCACUUUGAAUUUUCUCAUCACUGAUACUGCCUUUUGCCUUGAGCACACAGUUUUAAUUCUCUUUUUUUAUUCUGCAAAUGUUUUUUAGCCCCAGUCUGGGCAUAGAAAAUAUGGAGGAGUUAAGACAAUCUGCUUCCUUUUCCAUUGGUAGCAAUGCUAGGCACAUAAUGGGAAUAUAGUAGUGAAAGACUGUGUGCAUAAAAGCCCUAGUUUAAAAUGAAUUCUCAGGAUGAAGAGUGUUUACAUCUCAGGAGUUAUUCAUUUGAGGCUGAUGGGAUAAGCCAUGUGUUACUAGCCUAUAAGUCAUCUUAUGAGGUCUCAUUAGUCUACCCAUUUGUCACCAGGCUUUAAGGGUUGCUUGGUUUUAAAAAACCAUUAAAUGUUUUAGUGGAAGGAUAACCUGUCCUCAACCUCUUUAAUAAAGGUUUAAUAACCAUUUCUUUCA